rnacentral:rRNA from 1 species
CCUACGGGAGGCAGCAGUAGGGAAUCUUCCGCAAUGGGCGAAAGCCUGACGGAGCAACGCCGCGUGAGUGAUGACGGUCUUCGGAUUGUAAAGCUCUGUCAAUUGGGACGAGUGACGGCGAGAGGGAAUGUUCGCCGUGAGACGGUACCGAUGGAGGAAGCCCCGGCUAACUACGUGCCAGCAGCCGCGGUAAUACGUAGGGGGCAAGCGUUGUCCGGAAUGACUGGGCGUAAAGCGCGCGCAGGCGGUUUGUCGCGUCUGAGGUGAAAGACCAGGGCUCAACCCUGGGGGUGCCUUGGAAACGGACAGACUUGAGGGUCGGAGAGGCAAGGGGAAUUCCACGUGUAGCGGUGAAAUGCGUAGAUAUGUGGAGGAACACCAGUGGCGAAGGCGCCUUGCUGGACGAAACCUGACGCUGAGGCGCGAAGGCGUGGGGAGCAAACAGGAUUAGAUACCCUGGUAGUCCACGCGGUAAACUAUGAGU